GGUAUAAGUUAGGUUUUUAAGAAAAAGUUAGGUUUUUAAGAAAAAGUUAGUUUUGGUAUAAGUUAGGUUUUUGAGAAAAAGUAAGGUUUUUAAGAUAAAGUUAGUUUUGGUAUAAGUUAGGUUUUUAAGAAAAAGUUAGGUUUUUAAGAAAAAGUUAGUUUUGGUAUA